GCUACCAACCGGGUCAUCGCACUUUUUGUUUAUUCAAAGAGGGAGGAAAGUCCGGACAGCGCAGGGCAAUGCACCGGCUAACGGCCGGGUGGCGUAUAAACGCCAAUAGAGAGUGCCACAGAAAAUAACUGUCCGCCACCGGCGGAUGAGGGUGAAAAUGUGGGGUAAGAGCCCACGGCGCCGGCAAGUAAUUGCCGGGGCGGGUAAACCUUGCAUGCUGAAAUGCCACGUAUACCGGCGACUGAGGACGGCCCGUCCGAUGCCGGAGGGUAGGCAGCUAGAUCCCUGCAGUAAUGCAGGGGCCAGAUAAAUGGUGAUCGCCUUGCUACGGCGAGGUACAGGAUCCGGCUUAUAGGUUGGUAGCUUUU
rnacentral:RNase_P_RNA from 2 species